UACAGAGGGGGGCAAGCGUUUGUUCGGAAUUACUGGGGCGUAAAGCGCGCGUAGGCGGCUUUGUAAGUUAGAGGUGAAAGCCCGGAGCUCAACUCCGGAACUGCCUUUAAGACUGCAUCGCUAGAACGUUGGAGAGGUGAGUGGAAUUCCGAGUGUAGAGGUGAAAUUCGUAGAUAUUCGGAAGAACACCAGUGGCGAAGGCGACCACCUGGACUGAUACUGACACUGAGGUGCGAAAGCGUGGGGAGCAAACAGG
rnacentral:rRNA from 1 species